rnacentral:rRNA from 1 species
UGCAAACGUUGCUCGGAAUUAUUGGGCGUAAAGCGCGCGUAGGCGGCUACUUAAGUCGGAUGUGAAAGCCCUUGGCUUAACUGAGGAAGUGCAUCCGAAACUGGCAGGCUAGAGUACUAAAGAGGGUCGCGGAAUUCCCGGUGUAGAGGUGAAAUUCGUAGAUAUCGGGAGGAACACCGGUGGCGAAGGCGGCGACCUGGGUAGAUACUGACGCUGAGGUACGAAAGCGUGGGGAGCAAACAGG